UGGAGAAACAAGUGAACGCUAUUGUUUAAUCCUGUUACUACCAGAUUAGGAACAUUGGCUGUAUCCGGCAGCUUAUAACUGCAUAUGCAUGCAAUAUUUUGGUGCAUUCACUUGUUACCUCUCGGUUGGAUUAUAGUAACGCCCUGCUCUGUGGUAUAUCUGACAAACUAAAAAGCCGUCUGCAACUGCUGCACGGCUGGUUACUCGUACUCGAAAAAGAGAAAGAGCACAACACACAUGUGCUAUAUUCAUUGCACUGGUAACCUGUACGAUACAGAUCGCAGUACACAUUCUAUGUGUACACAUACAAGGCACUGAAUGGAACAGCUCCCCUAUACCUACAGGAGCUCGUUAACCUGUAUCAGCCUUCACGAUCACUGCGGUCGGAGUCAGAAUCAUUGUUUUGUGUCUUAAAAUCUUGUACUGUGUCCUAUGAAAACCGGUGCUUUAGGAGGGUUUUGGCCACGUUGUGGAAUAGCUUACCAUCUGCUUGCUUAAUGCAUAAAAGUGAUUGGGUUAUUCAUUGUAUAAAAAAUAUCACCCAUGGCCACCGUACGCUACUGUACUCUGCUACCUUAUGACGUCACACUGACGGAUAGUUGACACGACACCAGGCUUUGAAGGACGGUUGUGUCUACGAUGAGCAACGAUGAUCAGUGUCCGUCUCUGGCGCCGUGGGAGGUCUGCCUCAAACUGAGAAAUGUCUAUUAACAGCUAUGGUCAUUUAAGGACGUGCCAGGUUUUGGUGGUGGAGGAAAGCCAGAGUUCCCGGAGAAAAAC